rnacentral:sRNA from 1 species
UAUAAGUGAUUAUUCAAAUGUUUGUUUUAACACCGUGAAUGCAUAUAACAUGUUAAUAUUUUCAUCUUUUAGUUGUAAGGCUCCUCUCUAUGAUCUGGCUGCUCAUGAAGACAAAGUUCUGAGUGUCGACUGGACAGACACAGGGCUACUUCUGAGUGGAGGAGCAGACAAUAAAUUGUAUUCCUACAGAUAUUCACCUACCACUUCCCAUGUUGGGGCAUGAAAGUGAACAAUAAUUUGACUAUAGAGAUUAUUUCUGUAAAUGAAAUUACAUAGAUGCAGAAAGCAGCCUUUUGAAGUUUAUAUAAUGUUUUCACCCUUCAUAACAGCUAAUGUAUCACUUUUUCUUAUUUUGUAUUUAUAAUAAGAUAGGUUGUCUUUAUAAAUUACAAACUGUGGCAUGCAUUCUCUAUACAAACUUGAAAUUAAACUGAGUUUUACAUUUCUCUUUAAAGGU